rnacentral:tRNA from 1 species
GCGGGAGUAACUCAAUGGUAGAGUAGCAGCUUUCCAAGCUGCAAAUGAGCGUUCAAUUCGCUCCUCCCGCUCCA